rnacentral:rRNA from 1 species
CAGCAGCCGCGGUAAUACGUAGGGUGCGAGCGUUAAUCGGAAUUACUGGGCGUAAAGCGUGCGCAGGCGGUUCGUUGUGUCCGGUGUGAAAUCCCCGAGCUUAACUUGGGAAUGGCAUUGGAAACUGGCGAGCUGGAGUGUGGCAGAGGGGGGUGGAAUUCCACGUGUAGCAGUGAAAUGCGUAGAGAUGUGGAGGAACACCGAUGGCGAAGGCAGCCCCCUGGGCCAACACUGACGCUCAGGCACGAAAGCGUGGGGAGCAAACAGGAUUAGAUACCCUGGUAGUCCACGCCCUAAACGAUGUCAACUGGGUGUUGGGGAAGCGAUUCCUUGGUACCGUAGCUAACGCGUGAAGUUGACCGCCUGGGGAGUACGGCCGCAAGGUUAAAACUCAAAGGAAUUGACGG